ensembl:lncRNA
GAGAAUCACACAUUUAUCAUUUGAGCAGCCUUCUCCUGACAUCAGCUGUGACUCCUGACAAUUCCAAUGCAAGAAAACAAUUAUGGUGAGAAGUUAUAAGAGGAAAACCAUUUUGGUGGAACUCUGGAGAAAGAACAACUUGAGAUCCUGCAAUAAAAGGGUAUGCAACAGUUUAAAAUUAUGAAGAAUUCUCCACAUGUGGACUACGAGAGGAACCCAUGCCCCACCACCACAGUAAACUCUGGAAGGAUAUAAGCAAUGGUGGAUACCUGGAACUGGUCAUCUUCUGACAACAAAUGCAUAUUGAAUAAAUACCAGAAGAUGGAAACCAUGAAGAUGGUGUCUACACUAAGAAAACUUUCAAUUUAGCAGCAGAGAAAAGACAUGGAAAUAUGUGAAGGAUCACUUGAAGAAAAAUGUAACAGUUUCCCUGGAAUUGAAAGGGAUGUGAACAGAGCAUAGAAGACAAUGUGAAAUAUCUCAUUGGAAAAACAACUGACCUGGAAAAUAAAUCCAGGAAGAGAGAUAAUUUAAAAAU